rnacentral:tRNA from 1 species
GGGAGUUUGGCCGAGUGGUUAAGGCGUCGUGUUUAGGUACGGUCAAUUCAUUGGCAUACCAUAAAUCCCGCGAUGGGAAACCGCGCAGGUUCGAAUCCUGCAGCUCUCA